rnacentral:tRNA from 1 species
GCGACGAUCAUCUAACGAGCAGGAUGGCGGCUUCUCAGGCCGUUCAUGCGGGUUCGAAUCCCGCUCGUCGCUCCA